rnacentral:rRNA from 1 species
GAUGAACGCUGGCGGCGUGCCUAAUACAUGCAAGUCGAGCGAACAGAUGAGGAGCUUGCUCCUCUGACGUUAGCGGCGGACGGGUGAGUAACACGUGGAUAACCUACCUAUAAGACUGGGAUAACUUCGGGAAACCGGAGCUAAUACCGGAUAAUAUAUUGAACCGCAUGGUUCAAUAGUGAAAGACGGUUUUGCUGUCACUUAUAGAUGGAUCCGCGCCGCAUUAGCUAGUUGGUAAGGUAACGGCUUAUCAAGGCGACGAUGCGUAGCCGACCUGAGAGGGUGAUCGGCCACACUGGAACUGGGACACGGUCCAGACUCCUACGGGAGGCAGCAGUAGGGAAUCUUCCGCAGUAGGCGGAAGCCUGGCGGAGCAACGCCACGUGUGUGAUGAAGGUCUUCGGAUCGUAAAACUCUGUUAUUAGGGAAAAACAAAUGUGUAAGUAACUAAGCACGUCUUGACGGUACCUAAUCAGAAAGCAACGGCUAACUACGUG